AACGAACGCUGGCGGCAUGCCUAACACAUGCGAGUCGAACGAGACCUUCGGGUCUAGUGGCGCACGGGUGCGUAACGCGUGGGAACCUGCCCUUAGGUUCGGAAUAACUCCCCGAAAGGGGUGCUAAUACCGGAUAAUGUCUUCGGACCAAAGAUUUAUCGCCGUUGGAUGGGCCCGCGUUGGAUUAGCUAGUUGGUAGGGUAAAAGCCUACCAAGGCGACGAUCCAUAGCUGGUCUGAGAGGAUGAUCAGCCACACUGGGACUGAGACACGGCCCAGACUCCUACGGGAGGCAGCAGUGGGGAAUAUUGGACAAUGGGCGAAAGCCUGAUCCAGCAAUGUCGCGUGAGUGAUGAAGGCCUUAGGGUUGUAAAGCUCUUUUACCCGGGAUGAUAAUGACAGUACCGGGAGAAUAAGCUCCGGCUAACUACGUG
rnacentral:rRNA from 1 species